rnacentral:sRNA from 1 species
CCUCCUCGAUCUGCUGGGGGCAGAUGAAAUGGAUGUGGCUGUCAAUGCCGCCUGCAGUCAGGAUCCUGCCCUCGCCCGCAAUGAUUUCCGUGCCCGGCCCGAUGAUGAUGUCCACGCCGGGCUGGAUAUCGGGGUUGCCCGCCUUGCCAAUGGCGGCGAUACGCCCGUCACGCAGUGCCACAUCCGCCUUGACGAUGCCCCAGUGAUCGAUAAUCAGCGCAUUGGUGAUGACGGUAUCCGCCGCACCCUCCGCCCGCGUGGCCUGCGACUGCCCCAUGCCAUCACGGAUG